AUAUUAUUGAUAAUAAUAAUUAUUUUGAAAUUGAAUUGUUUAGUAUUAUUUUUAAUAUUUAUAAUUAAUUUUAAAUUACUUAUAUUGAUUUUUAUAUUAAUUAAUUUUAAGUUUUUUUUUAAUUAAUUAGUUUAUUUAUUUUUAUAAAGUUUAAUUCUGACUUUAGGAUUUAUUAUAAGUUUUAUUUAAUAUAUAAAUUUUUAUGUUAUUAUAUUAUUUUUUAAAUAGAAAUAAUUAUAUUUUAUUUAGUAUAUAAAAUUAUAUUUAAAUAAAAAUAAGUUUUUUUAUAGAAUUAUAUUUAGUUAAGAUGGAAUAAAUUUGUGCCAGCAUUCGCGGUUAGACAAAUUAAUCUGAGUAAAUUAUUAUUAAAUUUUUAGAUGCUUUUUAUUUUUAUUUUUAAUUAAUAAAUUAAGUUAAAUUAAGGUGAAAUUUUAUUAAUUUGAUAUAUUAAUUUGUAAUUAUUAUUUUAGUAUUCUUUGAAAAUUUUAUUAUAAACUAGGAUUAGAUACCCUAUUAUUUUAAUUGUAAAAUUUUUUUGUUUUUAUUUUAUAUGUUGUUUUUAUUUUUUUUGUUAUAUUUAUUAAAUUAGGUAGUAAUAGUUAUGAUCUUGAAACUUUAAGAAUUUGACGGUAAUUCAUUCAAUUUAGAGGAACUUGUUUUUUAAUUGAUAAUCCACGAUAUUAAUUACCUAUUUUAUUUGUUUGUAUACCGUCGUUUUAAAAAAAUUUUUUAAGGAUAAAUAAUUUUUAAAAUAUAAUUUAUUUUUAUAUAAAUUCAGAUCAAGGUGCAGCUAUUUAUUUAGGUUAAAAUGAGUUACAAUAAUUUUAAUUUAUACGGAUUUUAAGUAUUAAUAUUUAAAUUAAGGUGGAUUUAAAAGUAAAAUUAAAUAAUUAUUUAAUUUGAGAUUUGUUUUGAAUUAUGUACAUAUCGCACGUCGCUCUCGUUAUAAAAUGAGAUAAGUCGUAACAAAGUAAAAGUACUGGAAAGUGUUUUUAGAAUUAGUUUUAC
rnacentral:ncRNA from 1 species